AACCGCCGGAUGCUUGGAAACUUGCUUGUCCGGUGGUGUGGGAGGCUUAAUUGUAAUGAAAUACUUAAGAAGAAAAAACGCAAUAAUUCUAUCCCAAU
rnacentral:ncRNA from 1 species